ensembl:lncRNA
UACAGACUGGGACAAGGAGAGGAUGAACAUUACAGACUGGGAUAAGGAGAGGAUGAACAUUACAGACUGGGACAAGGAGAGGAUGAACAUUACAGACUGGGACAAGGAGAGGUUGAACAUUACAGACUGGGACAAGGAGAGGUUGAACAUUACAGACUGGGACAAGGAGAGGUUGAACAUUACAGACUGGGACAAGGAGAGGUUGAACAUUACAGACUGGGACAAGGAGAGGUUGAACAUUACAGACUGGGACCCUAAUCCUGGGACAAGGAGAGGAUGAACAUUACAGACUGGGACAAGGAGAGGUUGAACAUUACAGACUGGGAC